UCAAAUGCUAUUUUCGGCAAGAACGCGUCAAAACGUUCUUUGGAAAAUCUUAGAUUGUGUGAAGUACACUUUGACCAAUCUGAUUUAUUGGUAGUGGGUCGCCGGAAAGAAAUAAAAAAAGGUGCAAUACCAGCACGGUUUUGUCAAUGUUCCUCUGUCGAUUUUUGUAACAAAUCGCAAACUAGUAAGCGAAAGAAAAAAGGAACUCAUGUGCGCAAUGUUAAAACAAAAUUGGAUUCAGAGAAUUCAAAUCAACAGUAUAUAGAGCAUUCUUACAGCUUUAUUUCUUCUGUACUCACAGAAAAUCGUGUUCCUUUAAAACAAAUUUCGCCAAAUAUUGUAGAACAUUCUUAUAAUAAUCCAAUUUUGAAGCAAAAACAUAUUUAUAAUAAAAAUUCUGAUCUUCAAAUUAACACAUGCAAACAAGUCAGCAACUUUCAACUGCUUGUGGAAUAUAUAAUAAAAAUUGUACGAAAAUUGGUACAAGAUUUUCCAAGAAACAAAUGUGCGAUAUAAAACAUGAAACUAAUUGUCCAUUUACUGUAUCUCCAGUGCAAAUUUGUGAAAUUAAAAAGACAAUAGAAAUGGAAAGUUCUAAAGCUAACUCUCCGCAUGACAUAAACAUGAACAUAAUGGAAUCUUUAACUGAGAAAAUUGAUCAGUCAAAAUCUCAAAAGAAAUCUGAAACCGAUGAAAACAAAAUACA